rnacentral:rRNA from 1 species
AAGCGUGUAGGUGUGUGUUCCAGGUAAAUCCGGUUCACUUUAACACUGAGGCGUGACGACGAGGCACUACGGUGCUGAAGCAACAAAUGCCCUGCUUCCAGGAAAAGCCUCUAAGCAUCAGGUAACAUCAAAUCGUACCCCAAACCGACACAGGUGGUCAGGUAGAGAAUACCAAGGCGCUUGAGAGAACUCGGGUGAAGGAACUAGGCAAAAUGGUGCCGUAACUUCGGGAGAAGGCACGCUGACACGUAGGUGAAGUGAUUUACUCAUGGAGCUGAAGUCAGUCGAAGAUACCAGCUGGCUGCAACUGUUUAUUAAAAACACAGCACUGUGCAAACACGAAAGUGGACGUAUACGGUGUGACGCCUGCCCGGUGCCGGAAGGUUAAUUGAUGGGGUCAGCGCAAGCGAAGCUCCUGAUCGAAGCCCCGGUAAACGGCGGCCGUAACUAUAACGGUCCUAAGGUAGCGAAAUUCCUUGUCGGGUAAGUUCCGACCUGCACGAAUGGCGUAAUGAUGGCCAGGCUGUCUCCACCCGAGACUCAGUGAAAUUGAACUCGCUGUGAAGAUGCAGUGUACCCGCGGCAAGACGGAAAGACCCCGUGAACCUUUACUAUAGCUUGACACUGAACAUUGAGCCUUGAUGUGUAGGAUAGGUGGGAGGCUUUGAAGUGUGGACGCCAGUCUGCAUGGAGCCGACCUUGAAAUACCACCCUUUAAUGUUUGAUGUUCUAACGUGGACCCGUAAUCCGGGUUGCGGACAGUGUCUGGUGGGUAGUUUGACUGGGGCGGUCUCCUCCUAAAGAGUAACGGAGGAGCACGAAGGUUGGCUAAUCCUGGUCGGACAUCAGGAGGUUAGUGCAAUGGCAUAAGCCAGCUUGACUGCGAGCGUGACGGCGCGAGCAGGUGCGAAAGCAGGUCAUAGUGAUCCGGUGGUUCUGAAUGGAAGGGCCAUCGCUCAACGGAUAAAAGGUACUCCGGGGAUAACAGGCUGAUACCGCCCAAGAGUUCAUAUCGACGGCGGUGUUUGGCACCUCGAUGUCGGCUCAUCACAUCCUGGGGCUGAAGUAGGUCCCAAGGGUAUGGCUGUUCGCCAUUUAAAGUGGUACGCGAGCUGGGUUUAGAACGUCGUGAGACAGUUCGGUCCCUAUCUGCCGUGGGCGCUGGAGAACUGAGGGGGGCUGCUCCUAGUACGAGAGGACCGGAGUGGACGCAUCACUGGUGUUCGGGUUGUCAUGCCAAUGGCACUGCCCGGUAGCUAAAUGCGGAAGAGAUAAGUGCUGAAAGCAUCUAAGCACGAAACUUGCCCCGA